AGUCAGGGUAUGUGAAAGAUGGACAUUGGAGAGAUUCCUAGACAGGAGAGGGGGUUACUCCAUUUCCUCUAUGAUCUCAUCUGCCUUAGAGAUUCUGUGAUUCCCAGAACAUUCCAGAGCUCUGACCUUCUUAGGCUGGUUAGAUGGUUAGGAGUUGAAGAGUGGACCCCUGUCCACAUGGUUGAAGUCAUUUAGGUAUCAGAGAGAGAAGACCAUCUACAACUGAGAGGCUGCAUUCAGGAAAACUUCAUCUCCCACGAUGUGAAGAAAAAGGGGCCAAAGACUGGUGUUUUGACAUUCCAGCCCAUUAAAAGGAAGAAGAAGGAAAAAGAAUGAAGAGAAAACUCCAAUCUGCCUGCAUGGAGUGUGCUUCCUCUUGUUCAGAUGCCGUGUUUACGUUGAGAUGCCCACAGCUGGGAUGUGGUCCCAGCCUACAGACACAAUCCUGGCUUCUUGCAUCAGCCCCCCCCACGGUCCCCAGCCUCCAGGGACAUUGCUAAGGAAGCCUGCUCCCAAACAAGGACCCGCAGGCGGAUUCAUGGAGCGCAGGACUAGGAUUCAAGUGCAAGUGACUUCUUUGGAGAUGAUCCCGGCGCACACCAGGAGGGGAAUGAGGAAUUGAGACGAGGCAGAAGGACGAUCAAUGAACGAUGUGUCAUCAAGCCAGCGGGCAGUUGGGGAACUCCAGAAGCCACUGCAGAACGAGCACCACGGAGUUAUGCCACCGAGGAAGAGGAAGCAGAUUCGGAAGGUCGGUGGUGAUGCUGCAUCGGGUCACGUGCCCAGGUCAUUCUCCUCACUGCGUCUUGUCACCUAGGGAUUUCAUUGUCUCACAUCAUGGCAAGACACAGAAAGGUGAGUGCAGUGAAAGAGGAUAUUUUGAGAUGGAGAGAGAGACCACAUCCCCAUCACUUUUAUGACGGUAAAUUGUUAGAAUUAUCCUACCUUAUAAUUAGUUAUUGUUGUGAAUCCCUUACUGUGCCUAAUUUGUGAAUCACACUCUGUCAUAGAUAUAUAGGUACAGGAAGAAAACACAGGAUAUUUGCAGUCUGGUACUAUCUUUGGUUUCAGGCAUCCAUUGAGGGGCCUGGAACGUACCCCCCACACGUAAGGGGGGACUCCUGUGCCUACAACGACAAAGAUGUGUGCUGAGCUCGUGCAUCUGUGUUCCGUAGUGCCCGCCUGGACACGAACAUUUAUCAUCCAUUCAGCCCUCUCGGUGGAUGUAAUGCUAAGCACACCGCGAGGUCAGCCCCCUCAGUCUUUACGACAACGCCACGGGUAGGUACCGUUAUCUACACCUCAUACAUGAGGAAGGGAAGGCACUGGGGUGUUGAGCAACUCGCUGAAAUGGUAGCAUCAGGGUAUUCAAACUUACAGCCUGGCACCCGAGACCUUCCCUUGGGGUGCUGUGCUGGACUGCCCCUCACAACUUUCCAGUUCGAAUCUGGAAGCUCUGGAGACCACGGCUCCCCCAACUAUCACCGCCAUUUAUUGACUCCAUCACCUGCGUCCCAUCCUCCAGUUCACGGUCUUACUUUCGUUCCGUUGUGCCGACUUCCUCGCUGGGGCUGAGUGGUAUGCGUUGUUCGCCCCAUCCUAGAGCUCAGGAGAGUGAGGUUCAGAGAAGUGAACUUGCACAGCUGGUGGGUGAAGAGUCAGGGUUCAGACAGAGGCACGUGCACACCAGACCCCCCAAGCCAUGGCUCCAAGAUGCGUUUUUCACCCGGCGCCACCGCAGCAGGGAGCAAGCAAGGAAGGAAGGACAUCCAAGAGAGUAGCACCCCCUGACUUGCCUCAGAGCAGGCAGAGGGGUCAAGGGCCAGGCAAGAAAGGAAGGUCAUUAAGGAAAUCACGGACCCUCCCCCCACCCCCCCCAUCACGGAUGUGACAUAAUGAGGUGAGGUGGUUGCUAUUUCCUAACCAACUUUGAUAAUAUCCAAAGUGCUUUAUAAUCUACUUCCCUUUCACCUGGUACACUGGCCAGACUACCUUGAUGCAGUGGAGCCUGCCAGGCUGUCAGAAGCCACCCCUCCAAUACUUUUUUGAAAACCCUUCCAUCAGCCCCCUGAGACUAACAACACAGCCCCACGGUGUCCCACAAGUUGGACUCUGGGGGUUGCGUGCAUGUGCACGAGGACAACAGCCAUACCCUGCCCAGGGCGCGUGGGGGUGCUGGAACAAGUGGGAGAAGGAGGGCUAGCCCGGGUUCCACCAAAAGACAUGCUGGGCACUCAGGGUGGUGCUUAUGGAGGAGCUUCCUUAUCUCUUACCUUUCCUUCCCUAGCACCUUCUCCCCUUUUCUUCUCCCUUUGUCUCUUGCUUCUUUUAUUUCCUUUCUGGAAAAGGAAGCCCCGUGUGGUAGAACAAGCACUGUCCAGGAAAUCCAGAGACCUGGCUGUAUAGUCAGCAAAAAAUGAAAGAUGCCUUGUUCCAGGGCGGCAGUCCCAGCCCUGGGUUUCUGUCGCCGACCAGCCAAAUAGCCGCCUUCUUCUCUCUAGAUUUCAGCCCCCAAAUUGUAACCACAGGACAGAUGCAUUAGAUCAGGGCUUCAGGCUUUUUGAAAAGAUAAAGUUUAUUUACAACUGUUUACAAUUACAGUAAAACCUUGGUUUGUCAGCAUAGUUCGUUCUGGAGACUUGCUUGAAAUCCAAAGCACUUGCCUAUCAAAGCGAAUUUCAAGAACCGUUGGCUCAGUUAUGAUCCUGUGACGUUCGGUGCCACCUACUACUCGUAUUACAAGACACUGCUAGUUUAUCAAGUUAAAAUUGAUUGGAAAUGUUUGCUCGUCUUGAGGAAUGCUCGCAGAACAAGGCAUGAUAGUUUGGUAAUGGAGAAGACACUAGAAGAGUCAAUUCAAAUACUGUCCAAGAUGGACAACCUCAGAAGUGGCACACAAUGACAGCAGGUGACAAAGGACUUUUCAGAGCUGACUAGGUUGAACUCUACAAUGACCUGGCUUAGCAUCUUUGGCAAGUCACUUUCUCUCUCCAGAUUUUGAUGUUCCCAUCUGUACCAUGAGGGGAUGGCGUUGGGAGCCCUGCAGCAGUUCUAGCUUGGGCAAACUCUGGAUUCUAAGUGGAGUGGACAGACAUCUACCAAAGUGCCCGGUACUUAGGAGGCUUUCAAUAAAUCUUGCUUGAAUGCAUUAAUGAAAACAUGAAUGGAGGAUACCUCCUCUCUCCCCUGGGUACACAAGGUUUGGGGGCCCCAAUCUGUGCUAGCAGGGGAGGCAGGAAGCAGCUGUUUACCUUUGAGGGAGCGGCUGGGUGAUGUGCCUGUGCAAACAGCCAUUUACCCAGGUGUCAAGAGGAGGGACAGAGAGAGAACACACAUUUAUUCCUUUCCUCAUGGUAAUGAUCCAGAAACCCCAACCUGCCUCUCUGCAUUUUUCCAGGCAGUGCUGGAGUGGGGGCCUGUUGUUUUCUGACCAGGCUUGGGGCCAAGCAAGACUCCCUCCCUCGUUAUUCCCACUUGUACUCCAAGUCACUCCCUUCCCAGUAACUGUCCGGGGUAAAUAUCGGCACCCAAAGUUAUCUUAUUAUUGGACGUUGUUUUCUGCUUGCUGUCUGUAUCCUCUCACUGGAAUAGAAACACCUUGAGAGUAGGUCAUUUGUCUUGUUCAUUGCCUUAUCUCCAUAGCUGGAGGGGUGUCUUGGAUGUGGUGGGCCUGCUCAAUAAGUAGAUGUUGACUGACUGAUGGACAGGUGAGCUGUGCCCCAAACCUGGUCUGGUGACAUCACCAGCCUGGAAUUACCACCAUUAACGUCACCUCGUUGGGUACGUCAGCAUCCUUGAGUCAAUCAUGGCAGUCAUUCUCAUAGUGUCUAUCUUACCUCCUACUCGUUCAUACUCAGUGUAUUUCUCUAAGUGAGGUCUCCUCUGUAAUUUAAAUAAAUGUAUCUAAACUCUACAUUGUAUGUCAUGACUAUAAAUGGAAACCAAUAUCACUUCCCAUAAGGAGAAAGUAAUCAUAAAUAUGAGGACAAUGGUCAUAAACCUUAGUGCCAAGGGGAUGGCGAAUGGAACACUAUUUCAACGUGUUUCAUCCUUUGUAAAACUAGGCAUUGUAUUGUAUGCAUUUACCAACCUUAUUUUGAUACAGGGUCCAUAGGCUU